AUUGAACUGAAGAGUUUGAUCCUGGCUCAGAUUGAACGCUGGCGGCAUGCCUUACACAUGCAAGUCGAACGGCAGCACGGGUGCUUGCACCUGGUGGCGAGUGGCGAACGGGUGAGUAAUACAUCGGAACAUGUCCUGUAGUGGGGGAUAGCCCGGCGA
rnacentral:rRNA from 1 species